rnacentral:rRNA from 1 species
UCUUUAACUUGUGGUUAGCGGCGGACGGGUGAGUAACGCGUGAGCAAUCUGCCUUUCACAGGGGGGAUAACACAGGGAAACUUGUGCUAAUACCGCAUAACAUAUCGAUGUGGCAUCACAUUGAUAUCAAAGGAGAAAUCCGGUGAGAGAUGAGCUCGCGUCCGAUUAGCUAGUUGGUGGGGUAAAGGCCUACCAAGGCGACGAUCGGUAGCCGAACUGAGAGGUUGAUCGGCCACAUUGGGACUGAGACACGGCCCAGACUCC